UGGGGAGGGACUCUUAGUAAAAAUGCAGAUUAUCAGCCCCUGAAUAAUCAAACUUAGUAAAUCUGGGAUGGGCAAUUCUUUUUUUUUUAAAGUUUAUUAAUUUAUUUUAUUUGAGAGAGAGAGAGAGAGAGCGAGAGAGAACGUGUGCCUGUGAGCAGGAGAGGGGCAGAGAGAGAGGGAGAGAGAGAAUCGUAAGCAAGCUCUGUGCCAUCACCUUAGAGCCCGAUGCACAGCUUGAUCCCAUGAAUCAUGAGAUCGCGACCUGAGCCGAAAUCAAGAGUCAGAUGCAUAACUGACUGAGCCACCCGUGUGCCCCUGGGAUGGGUAAUUCUUAUGGCCAGAAAAGGUUAGGAAAUACUGCUCUAUUCCAUGCUCAUCACAAUGUGUUGCAACUGUCUCUGUUGGUGGCCAUGGUAACCAUCUGGCCUGCUGGACUGUCUCUUGAGGGCAGUACCACAUCUACCUCCAUAGCACAUAGAGCAAUGUCUGGCACGUACAUUGAAUAAAAGAGUCAAUCAACGGAGAAACCAUGCAUCAUUUGAAUGACUUCACAGUCCAGAGAGUUCUGGCUUACUCAUCAUGCUAUUACUCCCUGCCAAGGUAGCUUCACCUACAUUAUGAAAAUAAUGUGUGCAUCUGGCUAAAGAAUCCAAACAGUUCAGAAAAGUGCAAAACACAAAGCAGAAAUCUCCUUUUCCCGCUCUGUCCUCGUCUCCCAUCCCGCGAGCAUCUGGAGGCAGGAGUCAUGGAAAUGGUUGGUAGUAAAGGUCAAGAUCACAUUGGGGGAGAGCUGAAAUCAAAUAACAUUAUCUGAUACUGUGGUGCGAGAACAUGGACAUCCGAGGGAGAGAAUGUUUGGGGUUUGGGUUGGAGUCCUUUCCCUGUCAUGUAUCCACUCACAACCUUAGCGAGUAAAUGACUUUUCUGAGUUUCC